rnacentral:rRNA from 1 species
ACGUAGGAGGCAAGCGUUAUCCGGAUUUACUGGGCGUAAAGCGCGUGCAGGCGGUUUGGAAAGUUGGAUGUGAAAGCUCCCGGCUUAACUGGGAGAGGUCGUUCAAUACUUCCAGACUAGAGGAUGUGAGAGGAGAGUGGAAUUCCGAGUGUAGUGGUGAAAUGCGUAGAUAUUCGGAGGAACACCAGUGGCGAAAGCGGCUCUCUGGCACAUUUCUGACGCUCAGACGCGAAAGCUAGGGUAGCAAACGGGAUUAGAGACCCCGGUAGUCCUAGCUGUAAACGAUGUAGACUUGGUGUUGGUGGGGUAAAAUCCGCCAGUACCGUAGCUAACGCGAUAAGUCUACCGCCUGGGGACUACGGCCGCAAGGUUA